rnacentral:rRNA from 1 species
AGUGAACGCUGGCGGUAGGCCUAACACAUGCAAGUCGAACGGCAGCACAGUAAGAGCUUGCUCUUACGGGUGGCGAGUGGCGGACGGGUGAGGAAUACAUCGGAAUCUACUUUUUCGUGGGGGAUAACGUAGGGAAACUUACGCUAAUACCGCAUACGACCUACGGGUGAAAGCAGGGGAUCUUCGGACCUUGCGCGACUGAAUGAGCCGAUGUCGGAUUAGCUAGUUGGCGGGGUAAAGGCCCACCAAGGCGACGAUCCGUAGCUGGUCUGAGAGGAUGAUCAGCCACACUGGAACUGAGACACGGUCCAGACUCCUACGGGAGGCAGCAGUAGGGAAUAUUGGACAAUGGGCGAAAGCCUGAUCCAGCCAUGCCGCGUGGGUGAAGAAGGCCUUCGGGUUGUAAAGCCCUUUUGUUGGGAAAGAAAAGCAGCAGGUUAAUACCCCGCUGUUCUGACGGUACCCAAAGAAUAAGCACCGGCUAACUUCGUG